rnacentral:rRNA from 1 species
AAUACGUUCCCGGGCCUUGUACACACCGCCCGUCACACCACGAAAGUCGGCAACACCCGAAGCCGGUGGCCCAACCCCCUGGGAGGGAGCCGUCGAAGGUGGGGUCGGUGAUUGGGGUG